rnacentral:rRNA from 1 species
GAUGAACGCUGGCGGCAUGCCUAAGACAUGCAAGUCGAACGAGAUGUACCAAUGAAGAUUGAGUGCUUGCACAAAGUUGGAUUUGGAUUUGCAUCUAGUGGCAGACGGGUGAGUAACACGUGGGUAACCUACCCUGAAGACUGGGAUAACAGUUAGAAAUGACUGCUAAUACCGGAUGAUUCAUGAGAAGAUAACUUUUCAUGCUAAAAGGAGCGUUUGCUUCACUUCAGGAUGGGCUUGCGGUGUAUUAGCUAGUUGGUGGGGUAAUGGCUCACCAAGGCAACGAUGCAUAUCCGAGCUGAGAGGCUGAUCGGACACACUGGGACUGAGACACGGCCCAGACUCCUACGGGAGACAGCAGUUAGGAAUAUUCGUCAAUGGAGGAAACUCUGAACGAGCAAUGCCGCGUGAGUGAUG